UCUUCACAUACAGAGUGUCUCAGAUUUGACAUCAUCCCUCUUCUGUGCCAGAAGGAACAAUUAGUCCUUCCAUAAAUAGAUCAAUAUUUGCUCAUGCUGUAGACUAUGGAAUCCAACCUGUAGUAUCCUUUCUGCAUGUUGGCACCAAGCCCACCUCAUGAAACCAGCAAUGGGCAUUUUUCUAAUUCUACUUUCAAAGGUCCCAUUAUGGGUAAUAGAAAAGAACAUGAAAAAGUCUAUACCUUUUUUUUUCUCCUGCCAUUUUCCAAAAGUUCAUCUUCAAAAGGCAGGAAAAUGAAGCCAACAGGCACUAGAAACAUCCUGCAUGGAAAUCAUUCAAGGCUCACAAGUUUAUUACGUAAAUGUUGUAGCUGCCAGGUAACCACAGGUCCCCUUCCUGGGAGGAUUCCUUGAGGCACCAGCAGAGCAGCUUCCAGAACACAAGUCGUUAAGGAGCACAAAAAUGUAUUUCAAAUGCACAACUGUAAUGCCUUCUGCAUUGAGACAUGUCUACAAUAAACAUGGUCCAACUGGAUUACCAACUGCACCAUAGACACAGUACCUGAAUUAAAUAGCAGAAGAUAAGAGACUUGAAUAUUUGUAGCCUUUGAACAUAUUCUUCUGAGAUAGGACAUUCUUUGUUCCCUAAACUUGUAUGGGACAUUAGAGUUUCCUACCCAGUAUGUCCCAGUGCUCAAACUAUUUUUUAUUAUCUUCAGAGUUUUUCUUUCUGUCUUAAUUAAAAGAGUAGUUUUUACAGAGCUACAGAAUAAAUAAAACUCU
rnacentral:lncRNA from 10 species